CUCGAUAAUCCACGAACACCUUACCCCUCCUAGAUCUAUCAGCUUGUGUACUGCCGUCGUAAGCAUACCUCUAAAAGUAAAAAGUAUACGAAUAUGGCUAAUCCCCAUUUACGUCAGGUCAAAGUGCAGCUAAUGAAGGGGUGAUGAUGGGUUACACCCUAAAUAAAGACACGAAAUAUAGCUUUAAACCCUAUAUAAAGGUGGACUUGGCUGUAAUGCUGUUCAAAACAGAAUGAAACUGAAUCUAAGACAUGCACACAUCGCCCGUCACUCUCGCCCAAAGGUGAGAUAAGUCGUAACAAAGUAGGUGUAACGGAAGUUGCACCUGU
rnacentral:rRNA from 1 species